CCCAUUUGGGCAGAGGGAUCCUCCUCCCAUCGUCACUGAGCCUUUCAUCUGCUGAUCUUAAAUGUACCUCCUGGAAGAAAAAGUGGCUGUGGGGGUGGAGAGUUCUUUUACCACCUUAGAGAUGCUAAAGUACAACAAAUCACGAGGUGGACCUGCUUCCACUCCCAACUGCUUGGGCUGUGUUUCAUUCUCUUAGUGCCAAGCCCCAGCCCCAGGGAGCCUGCCUAGUGGUUGGAUGAGCAAUACAGAAGAGGACAUCUAAGCUGAGGCGGGCACAGAACCUCUUACAAUUAAAUAUGGAUGCUACUUGAGCUGAGAUGUAAUUGAGUGAGACAUCCAGUGAGAAAGUGUCUGCUCCUGGGAGAAGGUCACUUGUAUGGUGGCCAGGAGCAGAGAGUUGGUCUGUAACAACACUUGGGACAGCCUGGAGCCUGCUUGGCAGCAAGAGUCAGCGUACAGAGCAGUAAAAGAUGGUUGAGGAUAGGGACAUUCGUCCCUCUGAUGGAGAAAAGAAGUUAGACUGUCGGGCUGUCCUGCUGAGAUUUGGACAGGCUGAACUCUUGGCUGGAGGGGAAAAUCCUGGACUUCAACAAGGGCAAGUGUAAGGUCCUGCACUGUGGGAAUGCAAUGUGAGAAUAAUAACAAGCAAAUGCUGGCCUUGGUUCCCACAGCUGCAGGCUACCUUCCCUGGGAAGGGGUAGAUCAGUGGGCAUCUCCUUAAUGACAAACAUGAGGGGCUCUGUAUGUAAAAGGCUGGGUUGUUCUUGACUGAAUAUGCUAAUGUGUAGGGGUGUGCCCUAUGCUCAAGAAUAUGUAAUGAGAGACAAAAAGAUCAAUAAAGGUCUCUGCUAAAAUUCA